rnacentral:lncRNA from 1 species
AACCCGACGUGUGGGCCUUUCUUCCAUAAUUCCUGAUAACCCCCUGCAGAAAUAGACAAACACCAAAACUCGUGAAAUUCUGUCAGAUAAAACCCUAUGUCUGGAUGUCGGUUGCAUUUGGAUCCUUUUCUCUAUUUAUCUAUUGAUUAUAUUUAAUACUUAAGGACCGUCAACACCCCUCUUAGCCCUUGAGCUCUUGCUCACUCUCCCAAAUUUCUCUCCUCUUCUCUACUCUUUCUAAGCUCUCCUUCUCUCCCAAACUCUCUCUCGACUGCUGGAGGCCGAGAGCUCAAAGUUUGUCUACUGAAAUGGGUUGUGUGUGGUGU